UACGGAAGGCAGCAGUGGGGAAUAUUGCACAAUGGGCGAAAGCCUGAUGCAGCUAUGCCGCGUGUAUGAAGAAGGCCUUAGGGUUGUAAAGUACUUUCAUCGGGGAGGAAAAAACAAAACUAAUAAUUUUAUUUCUUGACGUUACCCGAAAAAGAAGCACCGGCUAACUCCGUGCCAGCAGCCGCGGUAAUACGGAGGGUGCUAGCGUUAAUCAGAAUUACUGGGCGUAAAGAGCACGUAGGUGGUUUUUUAAGUCAGAUGUGAAAUCCCUGGGCUUAACCUGGAACUGCAUUUUGAAACUGAAAUACUAGAGUAUCGUAGAGGGAGGUAGAAUUCUAGGUGUAGCGGUGAAAUGCGUAGAUAUCUGGAGGAAUACCUGUGGCGAAAGCGGCCUCCUAAACGAAUACUGACACUGAGGUGCGAAAGCGUUGGGGAGCAAACAGGGAUUAGGAUACC
rnacentral:rRNA from 1 species